CACGCGGUAAACGAUGAAUGCUAGGUGUAGGGGGUAUCGACCCCUCCUGUGCCGCAGUGAACACAAUAAGCAUUCCGCCUGGGGAGUACGGCCGCAAGGUUGAAACUCAAAGGAAUUGACGGGGGCCCGCACAAGCAGCGGAGCAUGUGGUUUAAUUCGAUGCAACGCGAAGAACCUUACCAGGUCUUGACAUCGACGUAAUCCGUAGAGAUACGGGUGCCUUCGGGCAACGGAAGACAGGUGG
rnacentral:rRNA from 1 species